rnacentral:lncRNA from 1 species
UAGGGGGCUUCUGAUAAACUCUGUCUUCGUAAAUAGGAUCUAUAUGAUGUUCUGGAGACUGCAGUGCCCUUAACUCGGAGCCAAGGUGGCUGUGCUGGCUGCUGUAAGAUGCCCGAGACCCAGCUGCGAGGGAGCCGGGCCUCUGCAGGGUGGCGGUGGCGUACAGCUCCUGGGAGUGCUUGCUGUACUGCUCGGCAGCGUGAACCAGCCGCUUGGUGGGCGACAGAGUGGCGUCCUGUAAAUCAGCAGCAUGGAGAAGAUUAGAAAAAAAACAGAGGAGGAUGAUGGACAUGCCUACAACUGGGAGCCAACCCACAGUGAAACCUCAGAUGGGAUGGAGAGCAGAAGGCUUUGCCAGGAAUGAGAGAAGACAAAUGGGAUUUUCCUUCACAGUCUGGAAACCCAGGCCCUGGAAGGCAUGGCAGAGUUAGAAGAGUCAUCCAUUUGGAGAGUGAGGGAAGCAGAGAGGCUUCUUCUGAAGCUCUUUUCAUUGUAUUACCCACCCUUCUUACUGGCAGUUGUGUUACAGGUGUUUUCCAGCUUUUAAAGAGAUCAGUGCAACUGAUGGUAUGCUGACAUCAAAUGCUUAAAAAAAAGCCCAGCAAAAUCAAUAAAAAAGGUAUUUUCACCUUAAUUAAUUUUCAGCACAUUGAGCAAAAUAAAGCUUUAUGCUUUGUAGUUUUCCUACCGAUAAUUUCAUUAUUCCUGUGCCUCAUUAUAAAAGUUUGCAAACUCUACCAACUUUGACUGAGAAGUCAAUAAAAUUAAAAUAUAUUUUC